UUGUUUCUAACCAAAGGCUCUACCUUUCCUUCAUUGGUACACAUCUCGACGACACAAAAGCUCUCUCCUUUAGAGUAAGAUGAAGAUGGCGACGAACGGCCGCGUUUUCACAAUCGGGCUGGUGACGUCAUGGUACACAGCGAACAUCGGAGUGCUGCUGCUUAACAAGUACCUCCUCAGCAACUACGGGUUCAAGUACCCGAUCUUCCUCACCAUGUGCCACAUGACGGCCUGCUCGCUCCUCAGCUACGCCGCCGUCGCGUGGCUGAAGAUCGUCCCGAUGCAGACGGUUCGAUCCCGGGUCCAGUUCGCGAAGAUCUCGGCUCUGAGCCUCGUCUUCUGCGUGUCGGUGGUGUUCGGGAACGUCUCCCUGAGGUUUUUACCGGUUUCGUUUACUCAGGCGAUUGGGGCUACGACGCCGUUUUUUACUGCUGUGUUUGCGUGGUUGAUGACGAUGAAGAGGGAGGCUUGGUUGACUUACUUGGCUCUGGUGCCUGUGGUGGCUGGUGUGGUGAUUGCUAGUGGGGGUGAGCCAAGCUUUCACCUCUUUGGAUUCAUUAUGUGCAUUGCAGCAACAGCUUCGAGAGCACUCAAAUCAGUGCUUCAAGGCAUUUUGCUUUCUUCUGAAGGGGAAAAGCUGAACUCCAUGAAUCUCCUUCUUUACAUGGCUCCAAUAGCUGUGGUGUUCCUUCUGCCUGCUGCUCUCAUCAUGGAGAAAAACGUUGUCGGCAUUACAAUUGCACUCGCAAGAGAUGAUUUUAGAAUCAUUUGGUAUCUUCUGUUCAAUUCAGCGCUUGCCUAUCUCGUGAACUUGACUAAUUUCUUAGUCACGAAACACACUAGCGCCUUGACUCUGCAGGUGCUAGGAAACGCGAAAGGAGCAGUAGCGGUUGUGAUCUCUAUUCUAAUAUUCAAGAAUCCGGUGUCUGUGACUGGAAUGCUUGGUUAUGCCCUCACCGUCUGUGGAGUUAUCUUAUAUAGUGAAGCCAAGAAACGGAGCAAAUGACAACACACCAAGAUUCAUCUUCUUCUUCUUCUUCGUUCCUCCUUAUAUAUAUGUGUGUAUACUUUUUCCCACAGGCACGUAGGCUCCUUGGCUCCUCUUGUCUUGAUGAAAAGCUGGGCCAAAAGCAUGUAUAGUUCUUGAGCAGAAACUGGAGAAGGAAAAGCAACACAAAGAUGAGUACCAAAAGGUUCACUGGGUUGUUAAGAACACAGAGAUGUGUACUAGCUGUUUUGACAGAGAGCUGAGAAUCAGAAUUGGAAGUAAUAUCUGUUGCAGAAGAAAGAGCUAAAAGAGAGGAGACGAGAGAGAGUUCUUUUUUUUUUUAACUAAUGAGAGAACAGUCUAGUCUUUGUAUGGUCAAAUCACUCGCUUGGUUUCUUUUUCUGGAAACGGCAGCCAUUAUCAUUAUCAAGCUGUAGAUCCAGUUUCACUGCAGCAUGUCUCA